GGGUUCCUCUUCUCCCCUCAGCCGCCGCCGCCACCUCUCCCAAACCCCAUCUCGUUCCCAUCUCUCUUCUUCUUCUCUGUCAGGUAAGUUAGCAAAGGGUGCAGAGAGAGAGAGAGUCGCCGGCUUCUUCCGCGGGCGUCGUCGGGCGGCUCGGCCGCCAUGUCCGGGGGCUCGGGGCGGCUCCCCGCGUCCCAUUCCCGGCGCUAGGACCCCGAGGUGUGCCCCCCCCCCCGUCGAGCUCGUCCUCGUCAACGGGACGCACCGGGCGAACUGCUUCGUCACUGCUUCGGUCUACGGCAGGAUUUCCCUCGGCACGUCUUCUUCCUCUCCGGCAUUCUUCUUCCUCUCCAGGCGGCUCCUCCUUCCCGUACGGCGCCCCCUCUUCUUCCCUAGGUGAUGACGACGCCCCCCCUCCUUCUUCCUCCCUGGUUCGCCCUAGAUCCGAGUGGGGUCUCCGUGUUCCUUUGUGUGCUGUUCGUCAGAGCCCAGGAAGCCGCGUGAGUGCUCUCUGUCCCGAGCAGCAGCAGGAGAUCGGGCUGUAGGAGUGUGGGGAUCGUGGUGCAUGUAGUAGUAGUAGCAGUAGGAUGAGCUCCCGCGUCACAGCACAGCAGCAGCAGCGUGCUCGGCGCCUUCUCUGUUGCCGGCGAGCAGCAGCUCACGCGCAGGUGCAGAGCAAACCUGACGGGAGUGUUAGCUUACCUAUUGCAGACCUCCUCCUCUGUCAGCUAUCCUUUUCAUAGCGCAGUGGUAGUGAGUCCCGUGGUUUACCGAGAGGUGCAGGGAUCGAGUCCCAAGUGGUGCACCUCCACCUUUUUUUUGGGUUUUUCUUGCCUGUGGCGAUACCAGCAGCAGAGAGGUUAUCUCGCCAUGUAACCCUCCUUUGUCGAGUGCAUAGUGAUCAGUGGAGUGGUAGUGGUGCUCUGGGUUACCAGAGGGAGUCCUGGGAUCGAAUCCUAGGAAGUUCCUUUUUUUCCUUUUUUGUUUUGUUUUCUCUUUGCUGCUAUAUUGAUUCAUCUUUGCUUUGUAGUUCCUGUUAUAUCCAUAGAUGGCUUGGCAUUUUUUUUCCAUCCUAUGCUGCAAUAAGAGGUGUCAUACCAGGUUUGCAUGUGUGUGUUCAUAUGAGUAGAGCAUACAUGUUGUGUGUGUGAGGACAUACAUAUGGGCUUGGUGGCACUAGCUUGUGUGUAUGGUGGUGCUUCCUAGAAGUUGAUCUUAAGAUAUGAUAGCAAGUGUAGUGGUAACAUGUGUAGGUACUUCUUUGUUGUAGGUGCUUGCAUUUGAUGUUGCACUAGGUGGUGUGUGUAUAAGUAUAGUAGUUCUUGUUCUAGGAUGGUUGAUUUGAUUACAUGAGUAAGUGUGUGGAUUUGAUCUCGAGCAUGAUGUGUUUGUGAGUGUGUGUGCCCUAGAUACUUGUGAGUGUGUGUGUGUGAGUGCUAGGCGAGUGCAUAUGCAAGCACAAGUGAGUGGAGUUGUGGUGCAUUGUGCACUUGGUGUGUGCAAGUGUUGGCACCUUCAUUUGUGCAAGAAGGAAGCCCUCAUGUGCACCUAGAUGAGGUUGUGGUGAGGAUAUGCGUGUGGGUGGCAGCCCCACUUUGCAACACUUGUGCUCCUCCUCAUGUUUAAUAUGAGAGAGAGCAUGUUGUGUGUGUGGGGUUGGAUUGUGAUAAGCAUUGGAGUUGUUGAUGUGCAUGACACAAACAUGGGGUUCAAACCCCCAUGUCACCUUGUCAGUGUGCACAUGAAACCCUCCUAUGCAUUGUCAUCUUAGAAGAAUACCUUAUGGAUUUGCAUUUUUAUUUUGUUGAAAGUUUGGGCUUUGUUUCCAUGAUAUAGAUGGAGCCCAAAGGCAUGGAUCUUGGUGUGUUAGUUGUAGGGGUUUGUGCUCAAUACCAUAGUGGUGUCAAACACCUCUUGGGAACUUGUGUGUGCAAACUAUGCCUAGACAAAGUGGGCAUGUGGUUGGGAAAAUUCCAGAUUUUUGAACUCUGAAAAUUUCACUAAGUCUGGGAUGCUGAAAACAUUUUCUUCCCCUGUAGAUAAGGUUGUUCUGGUCAUUAUGUUGGGAACUGGACUUAGUUCAGUGCUAGUGUUUUGAACCUGGUAUGUUUGUGAAGCUUCCUGUCAAUUUUAAAGUCAUUUGGAGUCCAGUAGCUUGUGUUUUGGUUGCUGCCAAAGGGCUUCAGAACAGAAACAGAAUCUCAGGUGCAGGAAAUUUCACUAAGUCCCUGAGAACUGAUGGUUUUGGGAAAGUUUGUGGCCUUGUAUCUUCUAGAGUUUGAUUCCUUUUGCUGUGAUUCUUGCUGGAGCUUGUAGUGUUCUUGGUUGGCAACAGCCACAUAUAUUAUUUGUCAUAUUUGAAGACCUGUAGCUAUGUUGCAUGUGGCUCUCAAACAGCUAAGAUGCAGAAACUGGCAGAUUGCGUAGUUUUGACAUUUUGUUCAAAGUUUGUGUUUAAUUGUUGUUGGGGUGUUCUGCCUUGCUCAAUUUCAUUCAUGUUGGGUUAAUGUAUGUCUUGGCAACCUAGGGACACCAGAUUGUGCCAAUUGUGUGUGUGGUGAUGAAUCUUUCACGUAGGGCUUCAUAUCGUGUUUCGUUGAUUCCCGUUGAUCCGUAGCUCCGUUUGCAAAGUUCUUUAUAUGGUUUUGCACCGUUUUUACGAGAUGCAUCUGUUCAUAUCAUUCCCAUGCAUGUCCAAAUAGUUUAGUGCAAAGUUCUGUCCAGGAACUUGUUGUAGUUAUUCUUGCUUGUGCUAGUGUUAGAAAUAGUGGUGCAUGCUCAACUUUCAUCUCAUGCAUCAUGUGAUUGUUGCAUUUUGUGGUGCUGCUGUUCAUUGGCUGUCAUUCUUGUGUUGGGUAGCACCGGGAGCGGAGACCGAUUACGCGGAGUCAGGAGAGUACGUGCAGGUCGAUCCAGAACCAUUCCAAGCUGAGGAUAUCACAGGC
rnacentral:lncRNA from 1 species